UUCUUAUCAAGAGAAGCAGAGGGACUGGCCCAAUGAAGCUUCAGCAACCAACUUUUUGUCAGGUGCUAAAUCCAGAAGACCGUUGAGUCGAAGAUGAGAA
rnacentral:ncRNA from 15 species